rnacentral:rRNA from 1 species
GAGAUCGGGAUAACACCUGGAAACAGAUGCUAAUACCGGAUAACAACAGAUGAUGCCUAUCAACUGUUUAAAAGAUGGUUCUGCUAUCACUCUUGGAUGGACCUGCGGUGCAUUAGCUAGUUGGUAGGGUAACGGCCUACCAAGGCGAUGAUGCAUAGCCGAGUUGAGAGACUGAUCGGCCACAUUGGGACUGAGACACGGCCCAAACUCCUACGGGAGGCAGCAGC